AAUGAACGCUGGCGGCAGGCCUAACACAUGCAAGUCGAACGAGGCAGCAAUGCCUAGUGGCGGACGGGUGAGUAACGCGUGGGAACGUGCCCCUUGGUACGGAAUAGCCCUGGGAAACUGGGAGUAAUACCGUAUGUGGUCGAGAGACGAAAGAUUUAUCGCCAAGGGAUUGGCCCGCGUUGGAUUAGGUAGUUGGUGGGGUAAUGGCCUACCAAGCCGACUAUCCAUAGCUGGUUUGAGAGGAUGAUCAGCCACACUGGGACUGAGACACGGCCCAGACUCCUACGGGAGGCAGCAGUGGGGAAUCUUAGACAAUGGGGGAAACCCUGAUCUAGCCAUGCCGCGUGAUCGAUGAAGGCCUUAGGGUUGUAAAGACCUUUCAGUGGGGAAGAUAAUGACGGUACCCACAGAAGAAGCCCCGGCUAACUCCGUGCCAGCCGCCGCCGUAA
rnacentral:rRNA from 1 species